AUGAGCAGAUGGUCUACAUCCUGGGGACGAGAUUGGAAGAGAUGAGAACCAAAGCCCCUCCCAGCCUGGGCAGUCAAUCUGAACACACUUCUCCAGACCUGCUAUUGCAAAGCAGUGUGCCGAAUCAACAGGAGAUGCAUGUUAAAUAAAACCCGACCCAGCCUCUCAAGAGUUUACAAUGCGAUUCUCAGGUUUUCCAAUAUCAUCUUCAUAGAGUUCCUGGAGGAAUUUAAUAAAGUACAGUGAAGAUUCGUUCCUUUCAUCUCCUAAGGACUCUCGUAAUUACUAUUGCUCUGAACCCAGCGGGCAAGAUGCACAUUUCUCUGUCCAGGAAAUGACAGCAGCAGUGUGGUACCCUCUUCUCACUUCGGGGAAAGACUGUGUAUCUGCAUAUUGAGCCUAUCCAGAGUCCGUGUCAGAGCCGGAAUUCUCACUCUUGGGACUGCUCUUCUCAGAACCCAGCUGCUAUCCAUGAAGAGGCCAUGUGCAGGUACUCUGGGUGCAGCCCCAGGAGGGCUCCCAGACAACAGUCACCAUCAACCACCAGCCAUGUGAGGAAACGCUCUCAAGAUGUUCCAGUUCAAUUAAGCCCCCAGAUGACUUUAGCCUCAUCCAACAUUCUGUGGGGCAGAAGAAUCUCCCAGCUGAACCCAUUUAACCCAUAGCGUCAUGAGACAGUAAAAUAUUUGUUGUUAUAAGCCACAAUAUUUUGGAGUGCUUUGUUAUGCAGCAAUAGAUAACCAAAACUUCAGGGUUUUCUAGAGUUCAGAGCCUACCCAGUAAGGUGUCAAAACUUGAAAAGGAAAAAUAUUAACUAUAAUAAA